rnacentral:rRNA from 1 species
UACAGAGGUCCCAAGCGUUGUUCGGAUUCACUGGGCGUAAAGGGUGCGCAGGUGGUAAAAUAAGUUCGAUGUGAAAGCUCCGAGCUCAACUCGGAAAUGGCAUUGAAUACUGUUUUGCUUGAGGGUCGGAAGGGAGACUGGAAUUCUCGGUGUAGCAGUGAAAUGCGUAGAUAUCGAGAGGAACACCGGUGGCGAAGGCGAGUCUCUGGACGAUUCCUGACGCUGAGGCACGAAAGCUAGGGGAGCAAACAGG